UACAGAGGGGGCAAGCGUUAUUCGGAAUUAUUGGGCGUAAAGGGCGCGUAGGCGGCUUGGCAAGUGGAUGGUGAAAUCCCUCGGCUUAACCGAGGAACGGCCGUCCAAACUGCUUCGCUUGAGACCGGGGAGAGGUGAGUGGAAUUCCCAGUGUAGCGGUGAAAUGCGUAGAUAUUGGGAGGAACACCAGUGGCGAAGGCGGCUCACUGGACCGGUACUGACGCUGAAGCGCGAAAGCGUGGGGAGCAAACGGGG
rnacentral:rRNA from 1 species